GUGUUCCAUGUGCCAGACCAGUACAGUGAAAUAAAUAGAUAAAAAAACUGCCCUCCUUUGUUAUAUUAUUUAUUUAUUAUUAUUAAAAAGUUAUAAAUAAUAUUUUUAAUAGAUAUAUUUUCAAUGGUAAAGAGAGGGAAUAUUUUUUAUGCUUGUAUAAAUGUUGUCAAUGACAUGCAUAUGACAAAAAAUUAUUACAUAUAC
rnacentral:lncRNA from 1 species